rnacentral:rRNA from 1 species
GUGGAUUAGAUACCCUGGUAGUCCACGCCCUAAACGAUGCGAACUGGAUGUUGGGUGCAACUAGGCACUCAGUAUCGAAGCUAACGCGUUAAGUUCGCCGCCUGGGGAGUACGGUCGCAAGACUGAAACUCAAAGGAAUUGACGGGGGCCCGCACAAGCGGUGGAGUAUGUGGUUUAAUUCGAUGCAACGCGCAGAACCUUACCUGGCCUUGACAUCCACGGAACUUUCCAGAGAUGGAUUGGUGCCUUCGGGAACCGUGAGACAGGUGCUGCACGGCCGUCGUCAACU